CUAACCAAUUUUCAAUGA
rnacentral:miRNA from 1 species